rnacentral:rRNA from 1 species
AGCGAACGCUGGCGGCAGGCCUAACACAUGCAAGUCGAACGAACCUUUCGGGGUUAGUGGCGGACGGGUGAGUAACACGUGGGAACGUGCCUUUAGGUUCGGAAUAACUCAGGGAAACUUGUGCUAAUACAGAAUGUGCCCUUCGGGGGAAAGAUUAAUCGCCUUUAGAGCGGCCCGCGUCUGAUUAGCUAGUUGGUUGAGGUAAUGGCUCACCAAGGCGACGAUCAGUAGCUGGUCUGAGAGGAUGAUCAGCCACAUUGGGACUGAGACACGGCCCAAACUCCUACGGGAGGCAGCAGUGGGGAAUCUUGCGCAAUGGGCGAAAGCCUGACGCAGCCAUGCCGCGUGAAUGAUGAAGGUCUUAGGAUUGUAAAAUUCUUUCACCGGGGACGAUAAUGACGGUACCCGGAGAAGAAGCCCCGGCUAACUUCGUG